ensembl:misc_RNA Y_RNA Y RNA
GGCUGCUCCGAGUGCAGUGGUGUUUACAACUAAUUGAUCACAACCAGUUACAGAUUUCUUUGUUCCUUCUCCACUCCCACUGCUUCACUUGACUAGCCUUAA